GGGGGUGGUUGAAAGUUCUGGCGGUGCAGGAUGAACCCGCGGCCUAUCAGCUUGUUGGUGGGGUAAUGGCCUACCAAGGCGACGACGGGUAGCCGGCCUGAGAGGGUGACCGGCCACACUGGGACUGAGACACGGCCCAGACUCCUACGGGAGGCAGCAGUGGGGAAUAUUGCACAAUGGGCGCAAGCCUGAUGCAGCGACGCCGCGUGAGGGAUGACGGCCUUCGGGUUGUAAACCUCUUUCGCCAGGGACGAAGCGCAAGUGACGGUACCUGGAUAAGAAGCACCGGCUAACUACGUGCCAGCAGCCGCGGUAAUACGUAGGGUGCGAGCGUUGUCCGGAUUUAUUGGGCGUAAAGAGCUCGUAGGCGGUUUGUCGCGUCGGCCGUGAAAUCUCCACGCUUAACGUGGAGCGUGCGGUCGAUACGGGCAGACUUGAGUUCGGUAGGGGAGACUGGAAUUCCUGGUGUAGCGGUGAAAUGCGCAGAUAUCAGGAGGAACACCGGUGGCGAAGGCGGGUCUCUGGGCCGAUACUGACGCUGAGGAGCGAAAGCGUGGGGAGCGAACAGGAUUAGAUACCCUGGUAGUCCACGCUGUAAACGUUGGGCGCUAGGUG
rnacentral:rRNA from 1 species